rnacentral:rRNA from 1 species
UACGUAGGAUCCGAGCGUUGUCCGGAUUUAUUGGGCGUAAAGGGUGCGCAGGCGGACUGGUGAGUCUGGGGUGAAAUCUCGCUGCUUAACAGCGAAACUGCCUUAGAUACUAUCAGUCUUGGAUAAGCGAGAGGUUCGUGGAAUUCCGAGUGUAGCAGUGAAAUGUGUAGAUAUUCGGAAGAACACCAGUGGCGAAGGCAGCGAACUGGCGCUUUAUCGACGCUCAUGCACGAAAGCAUGGGGAUCAAACAGG